GCAGAACUGGAGAUGCGGGAUGAACCGGAAGCCGGGUUCCGGUGCCCAACUGCACGCUAACCUAGAUCCCACAAAGGGUGUUGGUCGAUUAAGACAGCAGGACGGUGGUCAUGGAAGUCGAAAUCCGCUAAGGAGUGUGUAA